rnacentral:miRNA from 1 species
AGUUAAAAUUUGAAUUUCAGAUAACUAACCAAUAAGUUUUUAGUAUAAGUAUAUCCUCUGAAAUACUUGGAAUAUACUUAUGCUAAAAAUUUAUUGGUUGUUUAUCUGAAACUAGAAUUUACCUAUGUGUCUU